GAGACACAGGAUGAGCAGUAGAGGGCGUGACAGGAGCAGAUGUAACAAGAUCAGAUGUCACAAGAUCAGAUGUCAACCUCAGUGAAUGCGCUGCAGCCCAGCGGAUAACCAAGCGUGGAUUAAGAGUGACAUUACAGUGAAGAGAUGGCUGAGCUGAGAGUGAAGAAGGUUCCCUCUGGUUGUCCCCCUGUCCCUUGGAGAAUGCUGCUGAUGGGCAGACCAGGAAGUGAAAUCAGCAGUGUGACUAUUGUCAUUUGAACUUUAUACGGAAUAACCUGUUGUGGACCAUGCAAGUAUUUUUGGAAGCUAGCUAUUGAUUGGUUUCUUACACUAACUAGCCAACUAGCCAUGGUGGUGGAGCAGAGAAGCUGGGUGCUGACUGGCGCCACUGUCGCCUUUGUCGCAGCGCUUUACCUGCCCUGCACACAGAAGGCUGUCCCCGGUGGAGACUCAGGAGAGCUGAUCACCGCUGCUUGUGAGCUGGGGGUGGCUCACCCCCCGGGAUACCCAGUCUUCACCCUCUUAGCCUGGCUGGCUCUGUCCCUGCUGCCCUAUCUCUCCCUCUCCGUGUCUCCGGCCCACAGUGUCAACCUGCUGAGCAGCUUGCUGGGGGCCGGGGCCAGCGGGGCCCUCUGCUUCACUGUCUGCAGACUGGCAGGCCCAGGGCCGGGUGCGGUGCUGGCUGGGGGGGUGUUUGCUGUGUCCAGGCUCAGCUGGCAGUGGUCGGUGGUGGCUGAGGUCUUCUCCCUCAACAACCUCUUUGUUGGGCUCCUCUUCUCCCUGACUACCAGCUUCCACUGUGCUGACAGUGCCCCCCAGAGGAGGAAGGUUUCCCAUUGGGGGGCGCUGUGCUGUGGCCUGGGUCUGUGUAACCAGCACACUCUGGUGUUGUACGUGGUGGUCAUCAUUCCCUGGGUCCUGCUCCAACUCUACUCUCACAGAGAGCUGUCUGUCUGGGGGCUGAUGUCUCUGGGACUGUGUUUCCUGGGGGGUCUACUGCCCUACGUCUACCUGCCUAUCUCCUCCUACCUGAACACAGCUCGCUGGAGCUGGGGAGACCAGACUUCCCUCUCAGGCCUCUUUACUCACCUACUGAGGACUGAAUAUGGCACCUUCAGCCUGGCCAAGACAGAAGGUACCGGGAACCUCACCAUGAUGCUAAAGGCUCAGCUGGACCACUGUAUGGCUGACCUGUCCCUCCCUGUGCUGUUCCUGGCUGGACUGGGCAUGUUCCUCAUCUCCUGGGACAGGAGACGCCUUGUUGUGCCCUGGCUACUGACGGCCAUGCUACUACUCUACUCCCUGUUCUUUGCCUGGAGAGCCAACCUGGACAUCAGCAGACCCCUACUGCUGGGAGUGGUGGAGCGGUUCUGGCUUCAGAGCGAUGCUGUGGUGUGUGUGCUGGCUGGGCUGGGCCUGAGUUGGACACACACAGGCCUGGAGAGGAGGCUAGGCCAUGGGGGUCUGUGGAGGGCCGGAGGCUGGCUCUUCACCGUAGGUGUCCUGGCACACAUGGUGCACUCCAACCAUCGGGAGUGUGAUCAGAGCAUUAACAGUGUUGUGGAGCAGUUCGGCAGGGAGCUUCUGGCCUCUGUUCCUCCAGACUCUAUCAUCCUGACCCGGGGAGACCUCCCAGGGAACUCCCUGCGCUACCUCCACUACUGCCAGGGGGUCCGGCCUGACGUACACCUCGUUGACCAGGAGAUGAUGACGUACAGCUGGUACGUGGCCAAGCUGGGCCAGCAUCACCCUGGGGUUCAUUUCCCUGGGCUCUGGUGGGACCCGGUCCACACUGAGGAGAAGGACACCUUCAGUCUGGAGCAGUUCCUCUCUCACAACACACAGGGGGCCGUGUUGGCCUGCAUCGGGCUGCCUAACGGGGACCCCAGCUGGGAGAGGAGCUUCUCUCGCUGGCCCCUAGGCGUGUGUGACCACCUGGUGCCUGCCCAGGAGCACUUCCACCCAGAGGAGUGGGCCCGUCGCACCCGCUACAUCUAUAACUGGACCGAGCCACACAACAGUUUCCACCCAGGGUCCUGGGAGAGGGUGGCUAAUGAGGAGAUGUGGCAGGCCAGGAUGAAGACGGCUUUCUUUCUGUUUGACCUGGCUGAGAGGAUCCAGGGAGAGGGGAAAGCUCGCCUGUUUGAGCUCUCCUACACUCUGUAUAAGGAGAUCGUGGAGAGCCAUACAGACUACCCUCCCAACUGGGAUAAAAAUCUGGCCCUGGCCAGCGAGAGGCUCCUGCGUUCAGGGAAGCAGGGCCACAGCCCUGACAGCCUGCUGACCUGCAGCAUCCAGCACUUCAGCCUGUACCUGGACAAGGAGCCCACGGACUCCCAGGCCCCCGCCAUCCACACCGCCGUCUCCCACCUGCUGCAGGAGAGGACCAGGCUCCGGCAGAAACACACCCCGUGAGGGAGGGGAGUGUCAGAUAGAGCAGGCAUACAGGAAGUACUGCAGGACACCAUGGAAACUGAGGAGGAGAGGUCCUCUCAAUGAGUGUGGCAGCCAGGGGAUGUUGACUGACCUACAGGCUGCGUCUGGUGCUCUAACUUCUCUGGUGGUUGGGAUGAAGGGUUUUCUCAGGGGUUGAACACGCCCAGUACAGUGGAGAGUAGACUGGGCUCUACCGGCAGUCAUCAUGGACAAAUGUAUGUAUGAUGCCCUGGAAAAUUCUGUGAUGAAGUAAGGCAGGAAAAACAUCCCUUGUCAAAGAAUUGGCUACAACAUGGGACCUAAUAUGGAGGUAGUACUGGUGAUGGGGUUCUCUGUGAUGAGGUGGGGUUGUCCAGACAAACAGGAACCAGGCUGCACCUCACACUGCAGCAAUGUUUUCCACUGGGGAUAUCACAUGACUUUUGCAGCCUGGAUUGAACCCAAUCAAGCUGUUCAAGUCUCCCACACAUACACACUUGUAUUUACUAUUUCCCUGUCUCAUUUUUUUGUCUCUCUCUCUCUGCAUCUCUUUCUCUCAAACAGCUUUUAACGUUAUGAUUAUGUGGCCGUGGCCACCUGCUGAUUUAGUUAUCUUUUUCUCCCAUUAGGUGGCAGGGCUGAGAUUGAGGGAAACCCAAUUUGGGUACAGAAAUGGGGGAUUAGAGCAGGCUCUUAAUCUGUGACAGAUUCGUGCAUUGCCACGCUGUCCUGGGCUCUGGUCUCUUAGCGUGACCCUGGCUCCCAGUCGCCACCCCUGCCCACCGACUAUCCAUCCAUCUGAGUUGGUCCUUUAAAAACGAAUGGAUUCAAUUAGCUUUUUUUUCUCCCUUUGACGACAGAGCUGUAAUCCCUCAUAGAUUUAAAUUAAAUAUGAAAUGUUACAAUGCCAGGGACCCUUUUAGAGGUGUGUGUGUGUGUGUGUGUGUGUGCCCCUCCAGUGAUACGCAGAGAGGAAAAACACACGCACACACACCGAGCAGUGGAGCGCUUUCAUUUCCAGAGAGACAUUCCGUCACGCAGACAUCGAGUCACAACCACAGUCACGCAGACACUCAGAGACGUUGCAUCCAGACAUGCAAAGGACCUCAGCAGCACGACCCACACUCCUGGAUAGAUGGACUCAGUCACUUGAGGCUGGUCUGAGAGACAUGUUGCCCACCCCAAAUCAGCAAGCUGCCGAAGGAUUGUAGGAACCCAUGGAAUCGCCAUGACCACGGAUGCAGGCAGGGAGCCACGGCAAUGCUGGAAUGUGGGGCGUCUGAGGAGAUAAGAGCUGUGAGCCCAGCCAGGGAGAGGGAGUGGGGAGGGAUGGAGGGAGAGGGGGGAAAGAGACAGGGAGGGUGAAAGAGAGAAGCAAUCCUGUGAAUGGGAGACCGAGACGACAGAGAAAUAGGGGAGGGGGAGAACGAGAGAGAGAGAGAGAGAGGGGGGACAUGGGGCACAUUGGAGAAGGGAAGCCAGCCUUAUUCCUCUUUGCAUUUCAUUUACAUCCCUGGCCGUAUCGACCAAUCGGAUUGGGAGCAAAGCCCAGGGCUUAGGAGGGGAAUAAAAAGACAAAAUGCCUUUGCUGCUCUCAUCCCUCCCUGAUAAUACCCCUUCUGUUUUUCUUUUCUCUUUUUCUCUGUCUAUAAGUAGAUACUGUCCGAAAUGCCAGCGGAAAAGCGACACCUCCGCUUUCUGUGUAUCUCAGAUAGACCGAACGGGAGCAGGGGCUGAAAAACCAGCUUUAGUGGCUGGGUCUAUCUCCUCUGCUCUCUGGCUGGAUGGAGAAGGUUGGAGGGGGGUAGGGGGACUGGUGUUUGGUAACAGAAUGGGGGGUUGGAGAGACAUAAUGUACUGAGCUGGCCACAGAUUUUGCCGCAUAUUACACUGAAAAACUUCCCUGCAGAUCAGUUUUCUAAACAGGGAAACCUGUUUCAUGGGUGUUUACUCUGUGAGACCCAUUUCUGUGUUCCUGGCCAAUGGCCGUGACUGAACUUACUGUGCUAAAACAUAUUUUUAGCACAGGAUUGUUCUUGUUAUUCAUCCAUACUUGCAGGUUUAUCUAAUGCAGUGGCUCUUGUCGGUUGGUUUUGCACAGUAGGUCUUAUAGACGACAGUAUGGAGUGGAGUGUCCCCAUAGUCAUGACUAAGACUCCAAGGUGCCUUAGCAUCAUACAGACUAGCUGGGAUAUUCAAGUUGUUUCCACCUUUUGUCGUUAGCUGUUUUUAUACUGUAAGCACAACACAACAAGCCAAGAGUAUGGGUCAAGCCUGUUCCUUUGUGUUAUGCUCUAGGUUCUUUUCCUCUGUGGGAAUGACUGUUGUUAUGUGUGAAUUGUCUUACAGAUUAAGUUUGCCAUUGCCUUCAUGAGCGUGUGUCUCAGUGUGUGACAGGUGUUGUUUGAAACCCUGCAGGCACCGUGUGUUUGUGGGUUUACAGAGUGUCUGUUUGUACAGGUGCGAGCAGCUCUCUCUAUUGUCUUUAUGUGUUUGUGUUGGUUUGUUUAUCUCCUGUUUACGGAAAGUCUCAAAUUUGUAUUCUCCGCCUUUAAGUGUCCCUGCCUGUUUUUAAAUGGAUUAAGUCAUUGUGUUGAUGAGUACUUUGUCCAUGUAUUUUUGUAAGAAUAUUAGGUCUAUUGUGUUGUCACAGGCCCUUGUGUUGUUGCUGCUGCUGAUAUAGAGCUUAUUGAAAGGGCUUGUUGUUGAACAGAUGAGAAUCCUUCACAACAGUGGCCUGCUGCAAAGCAUGUAGACACAGGGAGGGAUGCCCUGUUACCUGCUUCCACCAGAAGCCUGGGGAAGAUAAAGUCACCUCAGGACCCCCAUUACUACACCUCCACAGCAUUUUCCACCUCCUUCUCCACCUCCUCGUCCACCUCCUCAUCGUCUCUUUCAUAAAGACCUCAACAAUAGGAACAGAUAUGGGAGGGAUUAGGGGUCAGGGGGUUGGGGGAUUUGGCCAUCUACAUUUCCAGGAUCAAUCUCGAACCCUUGCUUAUCUCUGGCCCCAGCCCCCAUAUACCUCUGGUGGGCUGCCUGGCCCUAGCCUGGGUGAGGCCUGGCCCUCCUGGCUGCUCCUCUAUAGCAGGGCAUGGGGGGCUGGUGGUGCCUGGCUGAUAGGAGAGGAUCCAUGGCUUCUCUGUCCAGGCUGGGGAGGUGGGGAGGGAUAAAGGCUUUACCCAGGCAGCCAGGGGCAUGGAGGACCACAGGGGAUUUGUGGACAAAGGGUUCUUACACUCUGUCUCUAUAGUACACCUCCGCCCCUAAAGCUCCACUGACAGGUGUGUGGGUGUUUUGAGUCUAUUUGUGUAUGUACUUUAAAUGUGUAUUUUAGUAUUCCGGUAUUGCAAAUGUGAAAUAACCUCUUGGAGUUAUACUCUGCUAACUGAAUUGUAUCCUAAGUUCCCGUUGUUAUCUUGCAUACACACAUUUGUUUAUUUGAUACAGCCCCUCUCCACCACUGCAGUUUCUUAUAUCAAAGACAAAACAGUGCAGAGCGUAAUUGAAAAUGGCUACCGUGGAGAAAGGACUCUCUCCGCAUUGACUACAGAGAGUCAGAAAAAGACCCUUUCUCCGCUCUCUUCUUAGAUCUAUUUAAAUAAUUGAGGAGUAAACUGACAAUUUAGGCCCCUUUAUGGACGCCCCUGGCCUUUCAGGGGUCUCUCCGUUUGCCCCGUACAAGAUGGUGCCACUGGGCAUGGGAUAAUAUCUUUGUUUGCUUCGAGAGGAGCUGAAGGAGGGGGAUUGGCGGGGAGCGGGCCAGAAGCGGUUUUGCCAAUCAAGCAGGCAACACUUUCUCCCCCAGGUUCUAAUUUUGUGCCAUAUUAGAGAGCUCGGCCUCCGUUUAGGACACAUAGGUAUUUUCAUAAUUUGCCGCGUCUCUCGGCUCACUUGAGGUGCCAUUCCUUCUCUCACUCCGUGUCUGAAUGAGAGGCCUGGGGAAGAAGAGUGAUUCAUGCCCUUGGUUUCUGUCAGCUGACUGUGUUUCUGCAGAAAGCAGCUGGUAGUAGGUGAGGAUACAGUAAUAGUAAUCACUAUAAACAAGAUCUGUUUAGGACUAUAUUUCAAGUUAAAACAUUGUGUUUAAUGUCAAGUGUACAUCAAUAUAAAUGAUGUGUAUCAUCAACUCACAAUAAUAAGUAAAACAACAUGACCCUAUUAGAAAUCGUCUCACAUUGUUUCUAGACACACGUGUUUUGACAGGUUAAAGUGGAUGGUUUUUCUUGUGCUUGACACCACUGGUUCAUGCUCAGCACCAGCAUGCGUAAGCAAUGAUUCACAUGUGAUUGGUCACAUAAUUCACUAUCUCAGGGGGGCAUUUCACCGCUGACAGACAGGCAAGCUAAUCUAAAAUCCCUCAAUUUACAAAUGGAAAUCCCACCAUCCAAUUGAGCUAAUAGAGGGACUUGAAUGGGAUAAUAAGAUGUGGUGUAAUACUGUGUAAAAAGCCUGUAAUGUUGUGUUGGUGUAUGAGCCUUUGUGACUGCGUGUUUGACUGUGCAGUGAUUACCGGGGCCUGCGGGCAUGGCGGCAGCUCCAUGGCUGGGACAGGGUGCUCCUCUCUGGGCUGGAAGACAUGCCUGUCUACCCCUGGUGGUGGAGCCUUCGGUACCGGACCAGAGGGAUGGGGAUAAAGUGUGACACAGCUCCGGCAGCAGGCUUCUACAGCAGGCUAUGUGUGUGCUGAGGAGUAGGAGAUGAGUGGAGAGGAACCAGUGGGGGGUUCUGAUCAGCAGUCUGGGGCUCCCCUGCUGAGGGCCUCUGGAAUUAGACCUAAACCCUGCCCUGCCAGAUGUCACCAGCACCACAUCAGCCCCACCACCACCCACCUUAGACGUCAGGGCCAGGCGGAGCCCUGCACCCCCUGGCCUGCACUGGUUCCUGAGGACCAGACACUAGGGAAAUGGGACCCCUGGGGGAGCUCAGAGUAUGGUUCUCUUCACCACAGGGAGGGACUGGCUGGAGAGUGUGAUGAGUUGAUCGGCAGGGAUUAACCUGGGGAAUUUAAUUAGUGGAGCUGUCGUCCCUGCCCUUAACAGUUCAAUUCCCCUCUCUCUCCCUGCCUGCCUGGCAGGCUAGCUGGGGCCUGGCGCCAUGGGGAGGGCAGGCAGGCAGAGGCAGGACACACAUUUCACAAACAGAUCAGUCCACCAGCCCUGAGUGGCCCUGAUGGAGGGAUGGGGUGGGGAGAUCCAGGUGGUGUUUUUCCUGUUGUAGAGGAUGAGCGGUUGACUGGCCGUGUGCCUGGACUCUCAGUGACCGGUAGCCUGGCCACAACCAUCCCCAGUUGUUGAAAGUGGGCAGUAGAGGAGGAGGAGGGGGGUUUAGACAGUGUGCGCUUGGGGUAAUCGUUACUCAAUCUGAAGCCUGCACUGUUGCAUUGUAAUCCUGAUGCUAAACUUCCCAUUAACCCAUCUGGGACCCCCAACCCCACACCCCCUGCAAGACAAACACACACUCGCCAGGGUUGUGGUGGUUGUGUGCUAGAAGUGUGCCUGGCUGUCCCCAGAUCACCUGCUGGGGAGCAUGUCCAGCCAGAUCACAUUAAAGACCUGCUAAAGGAAUGUCCCCAACUCCCCAGCACUGCCCUGCCAUUCCCCUGACCUACUGGUCACUGGUGAUCCCCUGUUAAUAUUCCACACACACACAUCUGUCUCUGGGGACUGGUCCCUCUGCCCCCCUAUGGGGCUGCUGAUAAUUCAAGUCAAACAUGAUGUCUCGCUUGUUUGUCACACUUAGUGUUUCAUUCGGUCAGGGUGGGCAGGGUCAAUGUCCUAACCUUGCAAGAUAUCAAUGGCACACUGUGUUUAUAGGACAAUCAACUCAGUUUGAACGAGUUCAUUUAAAAAACAUUUGACAGACAUAAAGUGAAUGAAUUUAUGGACUCCUAUUUGGUUGUGUUUCGGGGAUGCACUAGAUAGAUUUGAUGAUGGCCAGGUAUAAAUGAGGGAAGGGAGGUGCAACAGUAUGCUUCUUGUUUACUCUGUCUGCCUCCUAACCCCCCCCAGCGCUUCUUCUCCUCCUGCUCCCUUCUCCCCAGUGUGCCCCCCAUCCCCCGCUGGGCCUGCGCUGUGUCAGUGUGCCGCUAAUUAAGGACUCUUAAAGCUAUGGCCUACACUCAUUAGUAAACUGUAGCAUCCUUACUGUCCAGGGAGGAGGAGGAGGAGGGGGGCCCCAAACUCAACAGCUGAUUCAAUUUGAGGACCUGCUGUCACCUGUGGCAAACACUUCUGUUGGGGUCCAUAAGGUCAUGAAGAACAACUAUUGCAUUAAAAUAUGUAUUUAUUUGACAUUGUUUUUUCUUUUUGUUAUUGUGGUCUUCUUCCAUCCAGAUUAGUAGCAUGUAUUAUCAUUUACGUUUCUAAUGAAAACUGCUCCUUCCAAAGAAAAUACUGGACCAAUGCUGAAGCUUGUUGAGGGCUUGUUCGUUUUAUUUCAUUGUGCUGUUAUCUUUUGUUCAGUAUUCACUGCCUAUUCAAAUUGACUAAGGCAGCGUUAAUCAGAGUUGCAUUUUGUUGUUGCUCGAUUCAUGUGGGUACUGUUCGUCAGAUCUUUUAGGUGUCGCCAUUGUUGUCGCUAUUGUUCUGGUUGUUAAAAUCCAACACUCCUCCUCCCUCUCCCCCAACGUUCAGCUGCCCCUCCACUUGCCGCUUCGUUUCAUCCUUUUUAAUGGAAACUAAGAACUAAACAAAUGGGUGUGUUGUUGUUUAUGAAAGUAGGCCAAACAACUGCUGACAAACAAGAGGGGUAGUUGUAGGUCAGUACGGCACAAGCCAUGCGUUACUGUGUCAGAGAGGGCAGGCUGUCGUCGGUCGGCCACAAUAGACAAUAACAUGAGCUACAUGCAUGCUCCCCCUCUGAGAGGAUGUAGACUGGGCACAUACACGUCAUCAAUAGAAUUAUUACCAACAAGUCAACAUAACUCAGAAUACGAGGGAUCACAACCACACAUAAUCCACAAAUAUACCAACAACAAAAAAAACCCGGGCUGGAUACUUUGGAUUAUAUUAUAGCAAAUAGAAUGGAAAUAUAAAGUGCAAUUGAAAUUAGAAACACUCACGUUAAGGUGACAGUUAAAUCAGACUGUGAUACCAAUUCUUGGUUUACAGUCUGAAACAAAGCACUGCAAGAAAACCUAGUUUACUUACAAAGCCAGAGCGGUGAAUAAAAUGUGAAUUUACUGUAAGGUCUGACGGUGCGGUUGGCACCUUCAGUGGGUGGAAAUAUGAGACCACAGGAAAGUAUUAUUUACCCCGACUUGUUCGUGCACCGGUACUGCCGUUGAUAUUUCUAUCACCUGGUACAUGAGCAAAACCAUUGUAAACGACACCUGCAAGACGGUUAGUAUGCAUGCAUCACGUGCCUUAGGUCUGCAACAAACUCAUCUUGACUGCCACACAGAGACCCACGUUUUGAAGUCUGUCUAAUAAUACUUUCCUGUGGAUAUUUUGACUCAAAUUUCGACCGACUAAAGGACCAGCCCCGCAGACAAUUGGCAGAGUAAGUUCAAAUAUAGAUUUUAUUCAACAUUCGUGACAGACAAAGGACGUUUAGGUUUCUAUGCCUACACAACGGAAGGUGUCGCCACAAUUGAUACUAAGGUGACAGCUACACUAACUGCUUCUACUUACCCAACGUACAAAGAUCUUGUUGAUAAUUGGCAUGUUCCAGGGACUCCGUAUCGGAGUUGUUUAACACUUUGUUUAAUUUUUCAGUUGACCUGGAGGUUAGGAUCUUCAUCAUCACAACCAAGAGGGACUUGACCUCAGUGACUCCUAGAUGCUUCUGAAACUACCCCAAUAACCUGUCGCAGAUUGUUCGCUCCACUCACCAAGGAGUUAAUAAAUCAAAGACCAACACAAGCACUUCAAUUCAUCUGUUUUAUUCAUCUGUGAAACAACAAUCUUUUCCUAUGAGUGAAUAAGGCAUUAUCCCUACUGCCCAGAAGCAGCAGCCCAUGGUUGAAGUACAGGUGACCACCCACAGAAAGUCAUGAUGUCUGGCAUGGUGGACCCAUUGUGCAGCUAUGCUUGGUGAGAGCAAAUGGAUUUCGUGUUGAAAGUUUAUAAUGGAGAAAACGGCACCUGCCUGCUGGGCUUGCUGCACUUCCUGUGCCCCUUUUUAUUUCAUGUUGGUUUUGUAUUUGUGAUUUCAAUUAGCAGGCUUUUUAAAGUAAAAUAAUGGAAAUGGAGUAACUGAUAAGUGGAGGCAAAGUAUGGAUAACUCAAUGAAUUGAUGGUUAACAUUUGAAAUGUUUAAUGGAGAAAGCCAUGCCUUAAAAAUACAUUUUUAAAACUG